rnacentral:rRNA from 1 species
AUGGACGCCGGAGCUCCCCUGCGCCACGCUGCUCCCCUGCUCUCCCGCGCGUCCUCCGCCGCCGUCGCAGCUGCUUCCUCUGCCGCUCCCUUUUGCCUCGCGCAGCUCCCCUGCCUCACCCCUCGGCCUAGCGGCCAGCGAUGCGGCCUUCCCACCCCCGCCCCGGCCCCCGUGGCGUGGGGCGCGGCGGGAGACGGUGGCCAAGGAAUCGUCCGCGCGCAGGCGGUGAGCCAGAUCGUGUCCAGCUGCGCCAACUCAAGCGGCCUGGCCGUGGACGUCGUCGACGCCAACGCCAUCAUCUCGGGAGGCGCCGCGCUCACCUCCACCGCGGGCCGGCUGGUCACGGUGCUCGAGGAGGUGUUCGACGCCGCAACGCGCCGGAGGCUCGCGCUCCCGCCCACCCCCAUCGAGACCACCGAGCCCGCCCCUGAGUUCGUCAAGGGGGGGGGUCGAAUUUUACUGCACUACCUGACGGCCUCUCACAGUCUGCAAUCAGCCAACCACCUCUACUGGCUGCUGCCACUCCUCACAUUAGCUAGGAACACGAGCUCUGGGCUCUGGCGGCAGCACAAGGAGCAGGGCAGAGGAGCAGGACCUCGUCAGCGUGCUUCUUGCCGCGCGCCAGUCCUCGGCGCCGGGGGCGGGGCGGGGUCGGGAUCCUCGAUGCCGCGGGCGGCACUGGUGCUGGAGGUGACGCUGUUCCCCCCGCUCGCCGACAUAGCCGCUGCUCCACCCACUCCCCCCGGCCGUCACGUACCCCUCGUCUUCGUCCUCCUCAGCGAUCUCGUGGCCGGCGGCGGUGAAGUCUGCGGCAGGUCAGCGGCACGGAGGGAGAGCGUGGCCAGGGCCAAAUCAGCGGUCAGGGCCUCGCUGGCGGGGGCCGGAUCAGGGGCCAGGGCCUCGCUCCAGUUCUUCCCAAUGAACACGGAGCAACAUGAGCUUGAGCAGCCUCCGUGA